rnacentral:rRNA from 1 species
CGUGCCAGCAGCCGCGGUAAUACGUAGGGUGCAAGCGUUAAUCGGAAUUACUGGGCGUAAAGCGUGCGCAGGCGGUUGUGCAAGACAGAUGUGAANUCCCCGGGCUCAACCUGGGAAUUGCAUUUGUGACUGCACGGCUAGAGUGUGUCAGAGGGGGGUAGAAUUCCACGUGUAGCAGUGAAAUGCGUAGAUAUGUGGAGGAAUACCGAUGGCGAAGGCAGCCCCCUGGGAUAACACUGACGCUCAUGCACGAAAGCGUGGGGAGCAAACAGGAUUAGAUACCCUGGUAGUCCACGCCCUAAACGAUGUCAACUAGUUGUCGGGUCUUAAUUGACUUGGUAACGCAGCUAACGCGUGAAGUUGACCGCCUGGGGAGUACGGUCGCAAGAUUAAAACUCAAAGGAAUUGACGGGGACCCGCACAAGCGGUGGAUGAUGUGGAUUAAUUCGAUGCAACGCGAAAAACCUUACCUACCCUUGACAUGUACGGAACCCUGCUGAGAGGUGGGGGUGCUCGAAAGAGAGCCGUAACACAGGUGCUGCAUGGCUGUCGUCAGCUCGUGUCGUGAGAUGUUGGGUUAAGUCCCGCAACGAGCGCAACCCUUGUCAUUAGUUGCUACGAAAGGGCACUCUAAUGAGACUGCCGGUGACAAACCGGAGGAAGGUGGGGAUGACGUCAAGUCCUCAUGGCCCUUAUGGGUAGGGCUUCACACGUCACACAAUGGUACAUACAGAGGGCCGCCAACCCGCGAGGGGGAGCUAAUCCCAGAAAGUGUAUCGUAGUCCGGAUUAUAGUCUGCAACUCGACUACAUGAAGUUGGAAUCGCUAGUAAUCGCGGAUCAGCAUGUCGCGGUGAAUACGUUCCCGGGUCUUGUACACACCGCCCGUCACACCAUGGGAGCGGGUUUUACCAGAAGUAGGUAGCUUAACCGCAAGGAGGGCGCUUACCACGGUAGGAUUCGUGACUGGGGUG